rnacentral:tRNA from 4 species
GCGCCAUUAGCUCAGUUGGUAGAGCAAAUGACUCUUAAUCAUUGGGUCCCGGGUUCGAGUCCCUGAUGGCGCACCA